rnacentral:lncRNA from 10 species
CUCAAACUCUGGACCUGAAGUAAUCCGCCCGCCUCAGCCUCCCAAAAUGCUGGGAUUACAGGCAUGAACUGGCCAUCUUCUUUGCUUCCUUGCUCCAUGAGUUCCGAUCAAGGCAUGGGAUGGUGGGCUCCAUUUCAGUCGUAAUUUCCAAAAUCCACAGCCUGGAAAAAUCUAGACGCUGAUUUUCAGAGACUCCCCAUGGCUGCCGCAAGGGGGCGCAUGGCCCCUGGCAACUCGGGGCGCCGUGCACGCACCGCGUCUCAUCCACACAGCGGCAGUCACUUUGCGGCCACUAUGAGGACUGAGCUUCCUCUCCCCAGGACCCGCAUGGGAGAGACCGCGGCUUCGAGACACCUGGGGACACCUGGGGACACCUGGGGCGGCGUCCGCGGUGAGGACUGGGAGACGCUGCUGCAUCUCCGGGACACCACUUGGGGCCGAGGCCAAGGGAUUCUCCACGGCUGCCAUUAGGGGGCCCGGCCAAACCCGGAGCGCCACAGUAGAACUGCGUCUGAUCCGUACAGCGGCAUCCCUGGGUGUGAGGACUGUGAGGACGGAGUUUUCUCUCCUCAGGACCCACCCAGGAGGGGCCAUGGCUUCGAGACACCUGAGGAGACCUGGGGCCACGUCCGCGAUGAGGACAUCUCUGGGACACCUGGGGCUGCAUCUCCGGGACACCUGGGGCUGACCCUGGUACGGGGAAAGGAGGAGGAACACAGAGAUGCCCUCGUGAGGUCGGGGACCAGCAGGCACCGCAGUCUAAGGCCAAUGAAACAGGCGCCCCUAGAUGAGUGCUCGGUGUUUGUUUUGUUUUGUUUUCUUUUGAGAAGGAGUUUCGCUCUUGCUCCCCAGGCUGGAGUGCGAUGUCGCGAUCUCGACUCACUGCAACCUCUGCCUCCCGGGUUCAAGCGAUUCUCCUGCCUCAGCCUCCCGAGUAGCUGGGGUUACAGUCAUGCGCCAUCACGCCCGGCUAAUUUUGUAGUUUUAGUAGAGACGGUGUUUCUCCAUGUUGAUCAGGCUGGUCUCGAACUCCUGAUCUCAGGUGAUCCACCCACCUCGGCCUCCCAAAGUGCUGGAAUUACAGGCGUGACCCACUGGGCCCGGCCAGUGCUUUGUGUUUUAAGGCUCUUUUGUUAACGCAGUGGAAACAACACAGGAAAUGGAAAAGCAGGCACAUUAUCAUUCUCAGGCCACUGCAUUUAGCCUGGGCGACAGAGCGAGACCUUGUCUCAAAAAACAAAAACAAAUGAAAACAAAAACAAACCAUUUUGUGUGUCUAAUGGAAGUCACCUCGUCAACAACAGUCUUUUGUUGAGAAAGUCUGUUUAAUUGGCAGUGUAUUUGUAAUGGUACAUAAAAUGACGUCUGCUUUAUAAGCAUUCUCAUUCCUAUAUUAGAUGAAAUGUAUUAACUAUAUCAAGCUUUGAUAUUAUACCAUAAAAUUACUUGAAGAAAGUCACUACUCUUUUUUUUCCUUUACCUUGACCAUUUUAAAUAAAAUCAUAUUUCAU